rnacentral:rRNA from 1 species
UACAGAGGGUGCAAGCGUUAUUCGGAAUUAUUGGGCGUAAAGGGCGUGUAGGCGGUCUGCUAAGUCAUGUGUGAAAUCCCUCGGCUUAACCGAGGAACGACGCAUGAAACUGGCAAGCUAGAGUACCAAAGAGGGGGGUGGAAUUCCCGGUGUAGCGGUGAAAUGCGUAGAUAUCGGGAGGAACAUCGGUGGCGAAGGCGGCCCCCUGGUUGGAUACUGACGCUGAGACGCGAAAGCGUGGGGAGCAAACAGG